CAAAUGGCCCUUUUCAGGGCCCAAAUUAUUUUUAACGAGAAAUAA
rfam:Trachymyrmex septentrionalis contig26968, whole genome shotgun sequence.